AAAAGGUUUCUAUAAAUGCAAAACGUGUAUUGUGUGUAAAACUACCGAUUCCACUCUACCAUCUAAAAUUACCGAAUUUACUUCCAAUAGAACGAGAACUACCUAUCAAAUUAAAGAAUUUAUAAGUUGUAACACCAAAAACGUGAUUUAUCUGCUUGAAUGCCCUUGUGGCUUCCAGUAUGUUGGAAUGACCACAAGGUGCCUGAAAAUAAGGAUAAGCGAACAUUGUAGAAACAUUAAAAAUGGAUACUUAAAUCAUUCAGUAUCCAAACAUUUUUUAAAUCACGAUAAAGACCCUAAACUAUUAAAAUGUAUGGGAAUUAAAAAAUGUUCAAUACCAUGGAGAGGAGGUGAUAUUAAGAAUAUUUUAGGUAAAGUGGAAAUGGAAUGGGUUUAUAAACUACAAAC